GACGAACGCUGGCGGCGUGCCUAAUACAUGCAAGUCGAGCGAGCUUGCCUAUAGAAAUUCUUCGGAAUGGACAUAGAUACAAGCUAGCGGCGGAUGGGUGAGUAACGCGUGGGUAACCUGCCCUUAAGUCUGGGAUACCAUUUGGAAACAGAUGCUAAUACCGGAUAAAAGCUACUUUCGCAUGAAAGAAGUUUAAAAGGUAGGCGUAAGCUGUCGCUAAAGGAUGGACCUGCGAUGCAUUAGCUAGUUGGUAAGGUAACAGCUUACCAAGGCGAUGAUGCAUAGCCGAGUUGAGAGACUGAUCGGCCACAUUGGGACUGAGACACGGCCCAA
rnacentral:rRNA from 1 species